rnacentral:rRNA from 1 species
GACGAACGCUGGCGGCGUGCUUAACACAUGCAAGUCGAACGGUGAAGCGCCUUCCUUUUUGGUGGGUGUGGAUGAGUGGCGAACGGGUGAGUAACACGUGAGUAACCUGCCCCCUUCUUCUGGAUAACCGCAUGAAAGUGUGGCUAAUACGGGAUAUUCUGGGUCUGUCGCAUGAUGGGUCUGGGAAAGAUAUUGUUUCGGUGGGGGAUGGGCUCGCGGCCUAUCAGCUUGUUGGUGGGGUGAUGGCCUACCAAGGCGGUGGCGGGUAGCCGGCCUGAGAGGGUGGACGGUCACACUGGGACUGAGACACGGCCCAGACUCCUACGGGAGGCAGCAGUGGGGAAUAUUGCACAAUGGGCGCAAGCCUGAUGCAGCGACGCCGCGUGAGGGAUGGAGGCCUUCGGGUUGUGAACCUCUUUCGCCAGUGAAGCAGGCCUGCCUCGUUUGUGGGUGGGUUGACGGUAGCUGGAGAAGAAGCGCCGGCUAACUACGUG